rnacentral:rRNA from 1 species
AGUGAACGCUGGCGGUAGGCCUAACACAUGCAAGUCGAACGGCAGCACAGUAAGAGCUUGCUCUUCCGGGUGGCGAGUGGCGGACGGGUGAGGAAUACAUCGGAAUCUACUUUUUCGUGGGGGUUAACGUAGGGGAACUUACGCUAAUACCGCAUACGACCUACGGGUGAAAGCAGGGGAUCUUCGGACCUUGCGGGAUUGAAUGAGCCGAUGUCGGAUGAGCUAGUUGGCGGGGUGAAGGCCCACCAAGGCGACGAUCCGUAGCUGGACUGAGAGGAUGGUCGGCCACACUGGAACUGGGACACGGUCCAGACUCCUACGGGAGGCACCAGUGGGGAAUGUUGGACAAUGGGCGCAAGCCUGAUCCAGCCAUACCGCGUGGGUGAAGAAGGCCUUCGGGUUGUAAAGCCCUUUUUUUGGGAAAGAAAAGCAGCAGGUUAAUACCCCGCGGUACUGACGGUACCCAAAGAAUAAGCACCGGCUAACUACGUG